rnacentral:rRNA from 1 species
UACGUAGGGUGCGAGCGUUAAUCGGAAUUACUGGGCGUAAAGCGUGCGCAGGCGGCUUUGCAAGACAGAGGUGAAAUCCCCGGGCUCAACCUGGGAACUGCCUUUGUGACUGCAAGGCUAGAGUACGGCAGAGGGGGAUGGAAUUCCGCGUGUAGCAGUGAAAUGCGUAGAUAUGCGGAGGAACACCGAUGGCGAAGGCAAUCCCCUGGGCCUGUACUGACGCUCAUGCACGAAAGCGUGGGGAGCAAACAGG